rnacentral:snRNA from 1 species
UUCGCUCAGUGUCAGUAUCAUAGCCAAUGAGGUUUAUCCAAGGCAUGAUUAUUGUUAAUUGAAAA